UACGUAGGGCGCAAGCGUUCUCCGGCCUUCUUUUUCUUCCCUAUCUCUUAUUCUUUUUUUCUCUUCUUCCGUGAAAGUCCGGGGCUCAACUCCGGAUCUGCGGUGGGUACGGGCAGACUAGAGUGAUGUAGGGGAGACUGGAAUUCCUGGUGUAGCGGUGAAAUGCGCAGAUAUCAGGAGGAACACCGAUGGCGAAGGCAGGUCUCCGGGCAUUAACUGACGCUGAGGAGCGAAAGCAUGGGGAGCGAACAGG
rnacentral:rRNA from 1 species